AGCAGCCGCGGUAAUUCCAGCUCCAAUAGCGUAUAUUAAAGUUGUUGCAGUUAAAAAGCUCGUAGUUGAAUUUCGGGAUCAAUAUAUCGGUCGUGCCUUCGGUACGUACUGGUAUCAUUGGUUUCUCCUUUCUGACGAACCACGAUGUCAUUAAUUUGGUGUUAUGGGGAGUUAGGACUGUUACUUUGAAAAAAUUAGAGUGUUUAAAGCAGGCUUUAGCUUGAAUACAUUAGCAUGGAAUAAUGAAAUAGGACGUUCGAACCUAUUUUGUUGGUUUCUAGGAUCAACGUAAUGAUUAAUAGGGAUAGUUGGGGGCAUUAGUAUUCAAUUGUCAGAGGUGAAAUUCUUGGAUUUAUUGAAGACUAACUACUGCGAAAGCAUUUGCCAAGGAUGUUUUCAUUAAUCAAGAACGAAAGUUAGGGGAUCGAAGACGAUCAGAUACCGUCGUAGUCUUAACCAUAAACUAUGCCGACUAGGGAUCGGAUGAUGUUAAUUUUUUAAUGACUCA
rnacentral:rRNA from 1 species